rnacentral:rRNA from 1 species
UACUCUCGGGUGACAGGGAGACAGGUGGUGCAUGGUUGUCGUCAGCUCGUGUCGUGAGAUGUUGGGUUAAGUCCCGCAACGAGCGCAACCCCUACGUUUAGUUGCUAACGCGUGAAGGCGAGCACUCUAGACGAACUGCCGUUGACAAAACGGAGGAAGGUGGGAUGACGUCAAAUCAUCAUGCCCCUUAUGUUCUGGGCUACACACGUGCUACAAUGGCCGGUACAGACGGACGCAAAGCCGCGAGGUGGAGCAAAUCCUAAAAAGCCGGUCUCAGUUCGGAUUGCAGGCUGCAAUUCGUCUGCAUGAAGUCGGAAUCGCUAGUAAUCGCAGGUCAGCAUACUGCGGUGAAUACGUUCCCGGGCCUU